rnacentral:rRNA from 1 species
AGUGAACGCUGGCGGCAGGCUUAACACAUGCAAGUCGAACGGCAGUACAGUAAGAGCUCGCUCUUACGGGUGGCGAGUGGCGGACGGGUGAGGAGUACAUCUGAAUCGACUUUUUCGUGGGGGUCAACGUAGGGUAACCUACGCUAAUACUGGAUAAGACGUACGGGUUAAAGCACGGGAUCUUCGGAGGUUGCGCGAAUGAAUGAGCCGAUGUCGGAUUUGAUAGUUGGCGGGGUAAAGGCCCAUCAAGGCGACGAGCCGUAGCUGGCCUGCGAGGAUGAUCAGCGACACUGGAGGUGAGACACGGUGCAGACUCCUCCAGGAGGCGGCGGAGGGGAAUAUUGGGCAAUGGGCGCGGGCCUGUUCCGGCCAGACCGCGUGGGUGAGGAAGGCCUUCGGGUGUUGAAGCCCUUUUGUUGGGGAGGAAAAGCAGCAGGUUGAGACCCCGCGGUUCUGACGGUACCCAAAGAAGAAGCACCGGCUAACUACGUG